AACGAACGCUGGCGGCAGGCCUAAAACAUGCAAGUCGAACGCCCUAGCAAUAGGGAGUGGCGCACGGGUGAGUAACACGUGGGAAUGUGCCUUUUGGUACGGAACAACUUUUGGAAACGAAAGCUAAUACCGUAUGGUCCCUUCGGGGUAAAGAUUUAUCGCCAAAAGAGCAGCCCGCGUCUGAUUAGCUAGUUGGCGGGGUAAUGGCCCACCAAGGCGACGAUCAGUAGCUGGUCUGAGAGGACGAUCAGCCACACUGGGACUGAGACACGGCCCAGACUCCUACGGGAGGCAGCAGUUAGGAAUAUUGGACAAUGGGCGCAAGCCUGAUCCAGCCAUGCCGCGUGAGUGAUGAAGGCCUUCGGGUUGUAAAGCUCUUUAGUCCACGAAUGUAAUGACUGUAGUGGAAGAAUAAGCCCCGGCUAACUUCGUGCCAGCAGCCGCAGUAAGAC
rnacentral:rRNA from 1 species